rnacentral:rRNA from 1 species
CCUACGGGAGGCAGCAGUGGGGAAUUUUCCGCAAUGGGCGAAAGCCUGACGGAGCAAUACCGCGUGAGGGAUGAAAGCCUGUGGGUUGUAAACCUCUUUUCUCAAGGAAGAAGUUCUGACGGUACUUGAGGAAUAAGCAUCGGCUAACUCUGUGCCAGCAGCCGCGGUAAUACAGAGGAUGCAAGCGUUAUCCGGAAUCACUGGGCAUAAAGCGUCUGUAGGUUGCCUACCAAGUCUGCUGUUAAAGAUCAGGGCCUAACCCUGGGAAAGCAGUGGAAACUAGUAGGCUUGAGUGUGGUAGAGGUAGAGGGAAUUCCUGGUGUAGCGGUGAAAUGCGUAGAUAUUAGGAAGAACACCAAUGGCGAAAGCACUCUACUGGGCCAUAACUGACACUGAGAGACGACAGCUAGGGGAGCAAAUGGGAUUAGAUACCCCAGUAGUCCUAGCCGUAAACGAUGGAUACUAGGUGUUGCACGUAUUAACCCGUGCAGUAUCGUAGCUAAGGCGUUAAGUAUCCCGCCUGGGAAGUACGCUCGCAAGAGUGAAACUCAAAAUGAAUUGACGG